rnacentral:rRNA from 1 species
CAGUCGCCGCGGUAAUACGUAAGGUGCGAGCGUUAAUCGGAAUUACUGGGCGUAAAGCGUGCGCAGGCGGUUACGUAAGACAGUUGUGAAAUCCCCGGGCUCAACCUGGGAACUGCAUCUGUGACUGCAUAGCUAGAGUACGGUAGAGGGGGAUGGAAUUCCGCGUGUAGCAGUGAAAUGCGUAGAUAUGCGGAGGAACACCGAUGGCGAAGGCAAUCCCCUGGACCUGUACUGACGCUCAUGCACGAAAGCGUGGGGAGCAAACAGGAUUAGAUACCCCUGUAGUCCCUGUCUCUUAUAC